GACAAGUGAAUACAAAAGGAACAUCAACAACAAUCCAGUUAUGGGACAUCGAUCCACAUGUCACAAAGUUUGGCAUUUCUUGCUCUUCAUCGUCUUCUAAGAUUGCAUCAGUCGACUGAUCUUAAAAUGAAUAAAGCCAGCAUUGUGAAACACUUCCUAAAUUUGCUUCAAAUCUCUUCCAGUUGCACCAGGUGAAAAACCCGAACCAGCUCUAUUCUUGUUCUCGGCAAGCU
rnacentral:lncRNA from 1 species